rnacentral:rRNA from 1 species
GACGAACGCUGGCGGCGUGCUUAACACAUGCAAGUCGAACGAAGAGCGAUGGAAGCUUGCUUCUAUCAAUCUUAGUGGCGAACGGGUGAGUAACGCGUAAUCAACCUGCCCUUCAGAGGGGGACAACAGUUGGAAACGACUGCUAAUACCGCAUACGAUCUAAUCUCGGCAUCGAGGAUAGAUGGAAGGUGGCCUCUACAUGUAAGCUAUCACUGAAGGAGGGGAUUGCGUCUGAUUAGCUAGUUGGAGGGGUAACGGCCCACCAAGGCGAUGAUCAGUAGCCGGUCUGAGAGGAUGAACGGCCACAUUGGGACUGAGACACGGCCCAGACUCCUACGGGAGGCAGCAGUGGGGAAUCUUCCGCAAUGGACGAAAGUCUGACGGAGCAACGCCGCGUGAGCGUUGACGGCCUUCGGGUUGUAAAGCUCUGUUAAUCGGGACGAAAGGCCUUCUUGCGAAUAGUGAGAAGGAUUGACGGUACCGGAAUAGAAAGCCACGGCUAACUACGUG